GGCCAGUUAGCUCAGUUGGUUGAGCAUGGUGCUGAUAACACCGAGGUCGUGGGUUCGAUUCCCGCUCAGUCCC
rnacentral:tRNA from 1 species